GAAAAGAACUUUGAAGAGAGAGUUCAAGAGCANGUGAAACCGUUCAGGGGUAAACCUGAGAAACCCAAAAGAUCGAAUGGGGAGAUUCAUCGACGACUUAGCUGGCUCCCGUUGGCGCGCGAUUCCCCCGUUGGGACCUCGGUUCCAGAACGCGGGGUACCGCCCUUCGGCGAACAACCGGCGAGGUAGUCGUGCACUUCUCCCUUAGUAGAACGUCGCGACCCGUUGUGUGUCGGUCUACGGCCCGGGCUCUUUGCCUGUCGCGGCGGCAUCCCGUCGCUCGCGACAGAGGCUCGGUCGCCCGGCCGGCUGCACGACGGUACUCCGACGGUAUCGGGCCGCAACGAAAUUCCAUUCGCACCAGCGGAUGGGGUGUAUGCGUCCAGGCCCGUCGCAAGCUCGGACAGAGCACCGGAGCGUGUGGACUUUGCGCCCUCCCCGGGUCUGGCCAGCUGUUAGCGUACGGUGUCCUCGGACCGGCCAAGCUCCGAAUUACCGGUCAGCGACGCUAUUGCUUUGGGUACUCUCAGGACCCGUCUUGAAACACGGACCAAGGAGUCUAACAUGUGCGCGAGUCAUUGGGACAUUGAAACCUAAAGGCGAAAUGAAAGUGAAAGUCGUCGUAAGCGUCGACCAAGGGAGGAUGGGCCGCGUCACGUCGCGGCCUCGCACUCCCGGGGCGUCUCGUUCUCGUUGAGAAGAGGCGCACCCAGAGCGUACACGUU
rnacentral:rRNA from 1 species